CGGUUUGGCACCUCGAUGUCGGCUUGUCACAUCCUGGGGCUGGAGAAGGUCCCAAGGGUCCGGCUGUUCGCCGGUUAAAGUGGCACAUGAGCUGGGUUCAGAACGUCGUGAGACAGUUCGGUCUGUAUCCGGUGUGGGCGUUGGAGUGUUGAGGGGCGUCGUCCGUAGUACGAGAGGACCCGGACGAAGCGACCGCUCGUGUCCCGGCUGUGCCGCCAGGCGCAACGCCGGUUAGCGAUGUCGCGCGGGGAUAACCGCUGAAUGCAUCUAAGUGGGAAACCCUCCCCAAGAUGAACACUCCCGAGCCGUAAGGCUCCUCAAGGGCCCUGGGAGACUACCAGGUUGAUAGGCGGCAGGUGUAAGGCGCGCGAGCGCUUCAGCCGAGCCGUACUAAUUGCCCGUGAGGCUUGAUCUCUCC
rnacentral:rRNA from 1 species